AAGUGACUGUAGGUUUAGAUGAAUGGAAAAUGAACUUGCCAGUUCACAGCUAUGUCCUUCCCAAUUUAGGAGGUUAAGGGCAGGAAAAACAUGAGAAACUCUUUUGAGAAGCUGCACAAGCUGACAUGGAGGAUCAAGGAUUUCAAAAGCUUUGAAUAUAAAGAGGUGUCAGACUUACAUCAGAGCCUGAGACUUGACAUGCCUAUUUUUGCACUCGCUCAUUUUUCAAAUUUCAUAGGCAUUGCUCCCUCCAAAUCACCGCUCUUCUAAUUUUAUCCUGGAGUGUGCAUCCCAGAAGACAUAAGCUGACACAAUUGGGAACUGAAGUUGCUUGAAAAAGCUGGUGGGAUCAGCAUCAUAUAUCACUAUUUCUCAAAGAUUAUCUGGUCUCUUGAUGGCAAAUCUACAAUAUUGAAACCUUUGAAAGAGAAAUUGUGUUUUGUGAGUUACAUGACUACCGUUUGCAUCCAAGGUCUCCUCUGUAGUCAAGAGAAGAAUGCAGAAACUACAUGUCCAAGAAUCUCUUUCCAGACUCUAGACAGCUUAUACGUAUUUGGACAAGGCAACGUGAUGAAGAAAUAAUAUAAUUGUAGGAUCACCUCUGUCCAGUAGCUGUUAUCCAACAUCUGCAUACUUAGAUUUCUGGAGAGCCCUAUGCCUUCACAAGAACAAGUUCCCACACCAGGGUCAAGAAGGAAACCGUAAGUCAAGACAAAAGUGCCCAGUGAAGGCAGAAGAUGAGGGGUCUCAGGUUGCAUCUUCGGAGGCACGAGGAUUCAAAGGUGAACAAAG
rnacentral:lncRNA from 1 species